UAGCCUUUCGCUUCAGAAGCCUCGCCGUAGAGUUCGAUUUCCCCAAGCGGCCCAGUGCGCGGCGAAAGAGGCGAUGCCUGCCGGCUGCCGCCGCCGUCGCCGGCGGCGGCGGCCAUCAUCCGGCCGGGCCCCCUUGGGAUACGCUUGCGGACGGUAGGCGCCGCACGGUGCUGGGGCUACUCGAUGCCCACGGGACCACGCGGUUGUCGCGGUGGCGGCGAGCGGCCUUCGGAACUCGGGGAGCGUCGCCGGCGGCCGUGGCUGGGCUUGCUGUACGGGGGGGAUUCGUCGAGAUCUCCGCUCUGCUCGCGCGGUGGCGCCGUUGGCGGUAUGGAUCCCGGCGCGUGCGUGUGCCUCACUGAUCCUCCAACGGCAACAAACACGAUCUUCAGUUGCGUCGGUAUCAUGGAACUUAACUUGAGCAUAACCUUGAAGACCCACAAGUGGAAUCACACAAAGGAUGAUCAAAGUGAGCUUCCAGUCCGCUAUCAUCGCUAUGACAAUUCCUGUGAUAAGUGUUGAGACGACCUGAACUGCCAAUGCAAGAUUGUCUCCAACUAAACGCCGGACAUUCAAAGCAUCUACUGAUAAUCUUGCACCAAGCGCUCCACUGUAGGAUGAAAUUUCAUCAUCAGUUCCCAAUGUGUAAAAUUCCUUGAUAUUUAGGAGGAAGAGAAAACAACCAAUAAAGAAUGGGCAACCAACCUGGAAUUCCUAGGAUCAUCAAACCAAGCAACUUCUUGGUGAAUAAUACUCCGGAAUGACAAGGCACGGACACGCUCUACAAGUUUACCUCCAGCUAUUCCAAACAUAAAGUACUCCACCGGUAU